rnacentral:rRNA from 1 species
GUGUCAGCAGCCGCGGUAAUACGAACCGUCCAAACGUUAUUCGGAAUCACUGGGCUUACAGAGUUCGUAGGCGGCGGAGAAAGUAGGGUGUGAAAGCCCUCGGCUUAACCGAGGAAUAGCGCCCUAAACUACUUCGCUUGAGGAGGCUAGAGGUGAGCAGAACAGAUGGUGGAGCGGUGAAAUGCGUUGAUAUCAUCUGGAAUACCGGAGGCGAAGGCGGCUCACUGGGACCUUUCUGACGCUGAGGAACGAAAGCUAGGGUAGCGAACGGGAUUAGAAACCCCCGUAGUCC